AUAAAUGUAUUAGUUGAAGAGGCACACUAAUUUCAUCUCGUGUUUGUACUCCACUAUUAAAACGCUCGAGCAAGGUGUUCAAAAUACCUCGGGUUUCUUGCAAUUGCUCUUCUAAUCGAUCAACUUUUUCAUCUUUAACUUUAUUUUGUUCUUGCAUUGUUUCUCGAGUUUCCUGCAAUUGUUGUAAGGACUCAAAUCUCAAUUUAACUUAAUUGAAACUUAAUGACUCAAUUGAACUUUUGAAACUUACCCAAACUAGAAAUUGAUUGAAAUGAAGCUCUGGUUCUUCUUCUCUU
rnacentral:lncRNA from 1 species